AUUCUCACCGCUACUUUGCUGAU
rnacentral:snRNA from 1 species